UUGCCUACGGGUGGCAGCAGUGGGGAAUAUUGCGCAAUGGGCGAAAGCCUGACGCAGCAACGCCGUGUGAGGGAUGAAGGCUUUCGGGUCGUAAACCUCUGUCAGAAGGGAAGAACGGGUGGUGGUCUAAUAGGCCUCCAUUUUGACGGUACCUUCAGAGGAAGCACCGGCUAACUCCGUGCCAGCAGCCGCGGUAAUACGGAGGGUGCAAGCGUUAUUCGGAAUUACUGGGCGUAAAGCGCACGUAGGCCGCUUUGUAAGUCAGGGGUGAAAUCCCACGGCUCAACCGUGGAACUGCCCUUGAAACUGCGAAGCUUGAAUCCUGGAGAGGGUGGCGGAAUUCCUGGUGUAGGAGUGAAAUCCGUAGAUAUCAGGAGGAACACCGGUGGCGAAGGCGGCCACCUGGACAGGUAUUGACGCUGAGGUGCGAAAGUGUGGGGAGCAAACAGGAUUAGAUACCCUUGUAGUCAUG
rnacentral:rRNA from 1 species